AUUAGGUUGGUGCAAAAGUAAUCACAGUUUUUGCCAUUGAAAAUAAUGGCAAAGCCGUGGUUACUUUUGCACCAGCCUAAUA
rnacentral:miRNA from 1 species